AUUAAGCUAAAGGAUGGAACGUACCGUUAAAGCGCCAGGUAAGCAGCAUAUGGGGUGCCAUCGUAUCUACCUGUUUCGACUGGGAGGUUAUGGUUAGCUGUUCUGAUUUUGAACAGGCUACUUCGCUCACGCUGAGGCAAAAGUGUAAGAUCCGUAGGUCAGAAUAGGGAGCACAGUGUGGUCAAAGAGCUUUAUAAUGAGGUCGAUUGGGAGGCUGGCAUUGUUUGCCCUUGUGAAAAGGAACGUUUGAAGUGCUGUGUUGUGAAAAAUGGACUGUAGUUCGCUGGUUAUAAAUUCAACUGUUUCCUUGGAUUGAGGGUUACGCAGAGCGCCUCUCCCCCCUUGGGCCUAUUUGUGAGAGUUUGAGGGAUUUGCACAGCUCGUGUUCAGGGGAUCCAAAUGAACAUCGUUUUCAUUAGUGUUUGUGUGAGCAGUUUGGAGAGUUCUGGAAUUAACACCUGCUGCAGAUCGAUCAGUGUUUGUUUGGGUGUUCUUUGACUUUGAUGUCCAUGGGCGCUGGAAAGCGGAUUCCCCCGAGGCAGACGAUCUUUGGUUUAUCGGGGCGUGUGUGCGUCUUCUUGCUGGAGCAGGAGAUUCAGAUUGAGGACGCCUGGAAAUGUGUGUAUGUCCAUUUGACGAGGAGGUUAUUUUGUUGGUGUGGAUUUGCUGGACUGUUGGAUUUGGGGCUCCUUCAUAG